rnacentral:lncRNA from 1 species
CGCUGCACCGCCGCCCUGCUGAGCCCCCUCCCGCGCCCAGCGCUGCCCGGGCGCCUGUCUUCCUUCCCCGCGCGACCCCUGCGGGCGGCGUCCCCGCGAGGACGGCUCAGCCAGGGGCAGCCGUGCGCAGUCGGACCCGCUGCGCGAGUGAGGAUCUGGCGAGGUCCGACUCGGAGCUUCGAGUCUUCGUUCUUCGGGUUUAUUUCCUUGUCAUGACCUCCUACCACGUGAGGGGGUCACGCGCAGGCCGGCGGCUGGGGCGCGUGGGGUCCCCUGAUGCCAGGGCCCAGGUCGCACCCGCCUGCUCAGCCCCGCCUGGGCGCUGCUCCGCGGUCCCUGGGCCCCGUCUGACUUGGUCUGUAAAGGCGUCUCAGAGACUCAACCACCUUAGCUUCCAAAGUCCUGCCCUUCCAUUUCUGAAGUCGAGAUGCGACCAGAGAGCGCGCGGAGGGAUGAAUGGGAUGAGGCCCUUCACAGGCCGACCACACGCUUUCCUGCCGUGGACGCUGCUCCAGGGCUGUGGCCGCGGGUCUCGCGUGUGCAGCGGCUCGGGAGGUGCUUACUGUUACUGCCCCCGUGGGCCGCGAGGGAGCACAGGCGCAGAGAGGGCGAGAAACCUGUUCCAGAUCACACAGCUGUGACUUUCCUGAAGUAUAGUUGACCUACUACAGACUGUGAACACAUUUGAAAUAAAAUUUGGUGGAUGUCUGGUGGCUCCAGCACUGUCCUGUCUCCACUAGCUUCCCUUGGCACUUUUGUUGAAUGGACUGGCCAGAUACAGUGACGGCUGGUCUUGGAGCUGUGGUUGGAGGUCUCAGGCUGCCUCUGGGCUUAACCCCUCCUUGAGUUUGUUGACGAAGGUCGAAGCCUGAGCACCAGUGACGUUUCCAGCUGCUGGCCGCCACGAAGACGGGGCAGCACAAGUUCCACGGCAGCUCAGAAGGUUAGCUCGAGCUUCAGCCUGGCAGCCAACGAUCACCGGGACGACCGGUCCUGACCCAGCUGCUCAGCUCUCGUGGAGCCAACUUAAUUACACAGUUGGAACAGCUGCUCGAGCCGGCCAAUGACACAGGGCAAGAAUCAGUCAAGGGAGAAACAAGGCGGGAUUAAUCUGGGGUCUCACUCGUUAAGACCUCCUGCUGUCAUCCCUUGCCAAGCCACUGAGCUGUCACUUCUUAGAAAAUGAUCACAUACCUCCAGCUGCUCUUCCUAAUUCCCUUGAUUUUGCAGAAAUCAUAACAACCCCAGGAGUCGUCAAAAGCCCGGAGCACGUAAUUUGUUCCACUCAGGAAAAUCCUUCCAAGGAGCCUGGGGGUAGUCCACAGGGCCCGGCCUUCUCUCCUUCCACCUUCCUGCCUGCCUCUUCUCGUCCCCUCUGGCUGCUGGAGUGCGGCUGAAGGUGGGCGUCAGAGACACAGUCAGAUCAGAAGCGCCUGUCGACGCGCUCAUGGAGAAACCCGUGCUCUCCAUUCAUUUUGUCCUUGCAGUGACCUUGAGAGGAGGCUCCCCC